UUCUCUCUCUAAAAAAUCAAUGAUAAAAAUAUCCUUGGGUGAAGUGUAACAACAACAAAAAACUGCAAAGAUGGAAUUUGAGCGAAUGAACCAUGGGACUCCCUGGCCCAGUCUGCUCUCCACAUUUUACCAAGGCCUCUGUGAGACCAGACUAGUAAAGACAUUACAUAUUGAAGCCCUUCGUUUAUUACAAGCUACUCUCCCUUAUUUGUUCUUUAGAGUUAAGGCAUCAUAUUUAUUAUUUCCCUAGGUGAACUUUAUUAAAGGGGACAUGAGAAAAAUAAUUGUUUAAAAAAAAGGCAUUGAGACUGAUACGGUUGAGCACUAUUGCUCUAAUGUUCCCAUACCUGGCCACAGGGAGGCCAAGAUGUGAGCAAGUACUGCCCUCUGGUGGCCCCAGAGGAUGCAGCAAGCACAAACUGCUCACCCAGUCCUGAGAACCCCUCCAGCCCCCAAGGGUUAUGUUGCAGGUUCAAAGGGUGGUGGAAUGCUGCUCCCCACCAGCCCUGACCACACCCCUGCCCAGCCUCUGAACUGGGAAGAAGAGGUAGGUGAGAACUGUUUGAAUGGUUCAAAGUAAAUGCCAAUGAAAGAUUUCCUCAACCCUGCAAACACCACUUACCACCCCCUCUGGCAGGACUCUCCACCUUGUCCCCCUCCACUGGAAGAAGUUCGGGUUAAACCUUUCCUCUCCUAUAAAAUGGGGACACUUCAUUCCGUAAGAUUGUGAGAACUGAGAUAAUGCAUGCAAAGUGCUGAAACCUGACACACUAACUACUCAAACAUUGGCUCUUGUUAUACUUGUCAUCCCCAGGUCUGAGGGAGUGUGUCCUAUGGCCACACUUCCACUCCUGUUAUUCUGACUGUGUGGGAGCUUAUGAACUCCUUCGAAGUAUGUGAAUCUUGAGUCUUCCUUCUUAUUCCCUGCUAGGGUCUCCCUCCACCCCUCCCCAACUCUUGACCAGGUCAAAUCAGAUGUUAUAGCAGCAUUAUUCACAAUAUCCAAAUGAUGUAAAUGCCCACCAACAGAUUAAUAAAUAAAAUGCAAUACCAUCCUUACAAUGGAAUUAUUACUCAACCAUUAAAGGAAAUGAAGUACUGACAUGGAUGAACCUUAAAACCAUGCUAAGUGACGGAAGCCACACACAAAGGCCACAUACUACAUCAUUCCAAUUAUAUGAAAUAUCCAGGAUGUAUAAAUCCAUAGAGUUAGAAGCAGACUAGUGGUUGGCAGGGGCUGGGGCAUGGGGGUAAUGGUGAGUGAUUAAGUGGUUUCCCUUCUAGGUGACAAUGAGUUGUGAAGGAUUUUGAUGGUUGUACAUUGUGAAUGUACUUUAAAAUAGUCACAGUAGUAAAUAAGCCUUUGCAAAGUAAAUUCUCCAGACCAAGUCAAGUUGCUCCAGCUACUUACACCAAGCCCAGCCAACAUUGCUAAUUUGUGAAUAAAAUAAAUGAUUGAUUUUGUUCUAAGCCA